UGAUAGCUCAGUUGGAUAGAGCAUCUGCCUUCUAAGCAGAGGGUCGGGGGUUCGAGUCCCUUCAAG
rnacentral:tRNA from 1 species